UACGUAGGGUGCGAGCGUUGUCCGGAAUUAUUGGGCGUAAAGAGCUCGUAGGCGGUCUGUCGCGUCGAUCGUGAAAACUUGGGGCUUAACCCUGAGCUUGCGGUCGAUACGGGCAUGACUGGAGUUCGGCAGGGGAGACUGGAAUUCCUGGUGUAGCGGUGAAAUGCGCAGAUAUCAGGAGGAACACCGGUGGCGAAGGCGGGUCUCUGGGCCGAUACUGACGCUGAGGAGCGAAAGCGUGGGGGGAGCGAACAGG
rnacentral:rRNA from 1 species